AUUGAACGCUGGCGGCAGGCCUAACACAUGCAAGUCGAGCGGAUGAAGGGAGCUUGCUCCUGGAUUCAGCGGCGGACGGGUGAGUAAUGCCUAGGAAUCUGCCUGGUAGUGGGGGAUAACGUCCGGAAACGGGCGCUAAUACCGCAUACGUCCUGAGGGUGAAAGUGGGGGAUCUUCGGACCUCACGCUAUCAGAUGAGCCUAGGUCGGAUUAGCUAGUUGGUGGGGUAAAGGCCUACCAAGGCGACGAUCCGUAACUGGUCUGAGAGGAUGAUCAGUCACACUGGAACUGAGACACGGUCCAGACUCCUACGGGAGGCAGCAGUGGGGAAUAUUAGACAAUGGGCGAAAGCCUGAUCCAGCCAUGCCGCGUGUGUGAAGAAGGUCUUCGGAUUGUAAAGCACUUUAAGUUGGGAGGGAGGGCAGUAAGUUAAUACCUUGCUGUUUUGACGUUACCAACAGAAUAAGCACCGGCUAACUUCGUG
rnacentral:rRNA from 1 species